GAUGAACGCUGGCGGCGUGCCUAAUACAUGCAAGUCGAGCGAACGGACGAGAAGCUUGCUUCUCUGAUGUUAGCGGCGGACGGGUGAGUAACACGUGGAUAACCUACCUAUAAGACUGGGAUAACUUCGGGAAACCGGAGCUAAUACCGGAUAACAUUUUGAACCGCAUGGUUCAACAGUGAAAGACGGUCUUGCUGUCACUUAUAGAUGGAUCCGCGCUGCAUUAGCUAGUUGGUAAGGUAACGGCUUACCAAGGCAACGAUGCAUAGCCGACCUGAGAGGGUGAUCGGCCACACUGGAACUGAGACACGGUCCAGACUCCUACGGGAGGCAGCAGUAGGGAAUCUUCCGCAAUGGGCGAAAGCCUGACGGAGCAACGCCGCGUGAGUGAUGAAGGUCUUCGGAUCGUAAAACUCUGUUAUUAGGGAAGAACAAAUGUGUAAGUAACUAUGCACAUCUUAACGGUACCUAAUCAGAAAGCCACGGCUAACUACGUG
rnacentral:rRNA from 1 species